UUAUUUUAUCUUUGUGUGACAGCUCUGCCAUUCUCCUUCUUGUCUUCUCGAUCAUGCACUCUGCCUUUUGUUAAGUAGCAUUAUUGGAAAUAUGGUUCUGAAUUAUGUUGACAAAUCCCCUACCCACCGCGACUUCUAUCCCAUCCCCUCCAAGCUCUUCUUGAGCUUGCUGUCAUUGGGCUCAACUGCCACAAAGGCAUAACUUUUCUUAGGGUUGAAAGGCUCUGGUGGGAAGGAGAACAUGAUGGAGGUCAUAUCCAGAGAAUUUCAGCAGGGCCCAGGCAUUUUUGUUGUGGUUGAUGAAUUUUCUUAGGAUUACAGACACAUUCAGAUUUCCUUUGUGUAGCUCUGUAUUUUAUUGUUUUCAUUCUUGUUUGGUUGACUUUGAGUGAUUCCCAGUUGGCGUACCCAGCUAGUGUUCUCUCACCGUGAUCUUGGCUUGUUUUGUCUUUUUUGGAUGAGAAAAUACAGUCCACAAAUUUCUCAUUUGUAAUAGUUUAUCUUGGGGAACAAAGAGAGGGGUAGCCAGUGGUCUUGUAGGUCAUCUCUUUGCUCAUGUAGUGUCGAUGUUAGGAAAAAGCAGACCUUUUGUGUCUAUGUGAUUUGAGGACAGACAUCGAACAAUACAAAUUAAGGUGACUCUGGACUUGAACAUGUGGAUGACAAGGCGGAAUUGGAGAUCUUACCCUCUUAUUUGCAGUGGACAUUAUUGUGUUUAGGGGUGGCCUGUCAAAUGCUUGGAAAUGAACCUCCCCGGUGUUACCAAAGAAAGUGGGGUUCCUUCCCCGUGGAUGUAGCUGAGAGUCCGGGCAGCCUGGGCUUGCUCCUCAGUGUCAGUGAAGUUAAGAUUGCCUCAGUGGGGCGGGGCCGGACAUGCUGCUGACCUCACCACUGGGCACCCCAGGCAGCCGCGGUGAGGGCUCAUCAUUUUCGGGUUGGUGAGACACAGCGGCGGUCGACCUGGAAGACGCACUGGUGGUAGAGGGAAACUAUGGUGGUGAAGGUAGUUAGAAUGAAAGGAAAGCUGGAUUCAGGAAAGUCAUCGUUUACCUACCUGUGUUGAAAAGGAUAAUCUACUGCCACCUGCCUCCUCCUUAAAGACCUCUGUGCCUUUAAAACUUUAUUAUAAGAAUUUUCAGAUAUGCAGAAAAAUAAGAAAGGGGAUCAAGAGCACCGUAUCCCUACCCC